CAGAGCAUAUAAUGGUGUUGUUUGGUUAUCGCCGGAAAGGAGAACGCGAUGGUGGUGAUGUUGUGAUGGAAGUUGAUUUUGAGCAACUUAUUGUUUCUUAGUCACAUGUAGAACGCGAUGGUGGUGAUGUUGUGAUGGAAGUUGAUUUUGAGCAACUUAUUGUUUCUUAGUCACAUGUGAAAAUGAUGAUGGAGAGCAAGGUUGUGUUUGUUAUGGAUGGAUGAAAGUGAGGUGAAAGAGGAGGGAAGAUGAAGAUGGUUUGGAGUUUGUGAGUUUUAAUGGAAGGAGUAUGUUGUUUAGAUGUGGUUAUCUGAUGAAGAAGAAAA
rnacentral:lncRNA from 1 species